AUUGAACGCUGGCGGCAGGCCUAACACAUGCAAGUCGAGCGGAGUGGCGAACGGGUGAGUAAUGUAUCGGAACGUGCCCAGUAGCGGGGGAUAACUACGCGAAAGCGUAGCUAAUACCGCAUACUAUUGGAGCGGCCGAUAUCGGAUUAGCUAGUUGGUGGGGUAACGGCUCACCAAGGCGACGAUCCGUAGCUGGUUUGAGAGGACGACCAGCAACACUGGAACUAGGACACGGCCCAGCCUCCUACGGGAGGAAGCAGUGGGAAAUUUUGGACAAUGGGGGAAACCCUGAUCCAGCCAGGCCGCGUGUGUGAAGAAGGUCUUCGGAUUGUAAAGCACUUUAAGUUGGGCGGCGUUACCAACAGAAUAAGCACCGGCUAACUUCGUGCCAGCAGCCGCGGUAAUUC
rnacentral:rRNA from 1 species